rnacentral:piRNA from 1 species
UGCUAUGCAAUAAAACUGUAGGGCUGCAA